GCCGUGAGGGAUGCCUUAACAUGCAAGUCGAACGGCAGCACGGGAGCAAUCCUGGUGGCGAGUGGCGAACGGGUGAGUAAUAUAUCGGAACGUGCCCAGUCGUGGGGGAUAACGCAGCGAAAGCUGUGCUAAUACCGCAUACGAUCUAUGGAUGAAAGCGGGGGAUCGCAAGACCUCGCGCGAUUGGAGCGGCCGAUAUCAGAUUAGCUAGUUGGUGGGGUAAAGGCCCACCAAGGCGACGAUCUGUAGCUGGUCUGAGAGGACGACCAGCCACACUGGAACUGAGACACGGUCCAGACUCCUACGGGAGGCAGCAGUGGGGAAUUUUGGACAAUGGGCGCAAGCCUGAUCCAGUAAUGCCGCGUGCAGGAUGAAGGCCUUCGGGUUGUAAACUGCUUUUGUACGGAACGAAACGGCCCUUUCUAAUACGGGGGGCUAAUGACGGUACCGUAAGAAUAAGCACCGGCUAACUACGUGCCAGCAGCCGCGGUAAUACGUAGGGUGCGAGCGUUAAUCGGAAUUACUGGGCGUAAAGCGUGCGCAGGCGGUUAUGUAAGACAGAUGUGAAAUCCCCGGGCUCAACCUGGGACCUGCAUUUGUGACUGCAUAGCUAGAGUACGGUAGAGGGGGAUGGAAUUCCGCGUGUAGCAGUGAAAUGCGUAGAUAUGCGGAGGAACACCGAUGGCGAAGGCAAUCCCCUGGACCUGUACUGACGCUCAUGCACGAAAGCGUGGGGAGCAAACAGGAUUAGAUACCCUGGUAGUCCACGCCCUAAACGAUGUCAACUGGUUGUUGGGUCUUCACUGACUCAGUAACGAAG
rnacentral:rRNA from 1 species